GGCGCAGUUCUGAUGUCGGACUCUGGCAGGCCGUUUUGUGUCAAAUGAUUGAUUUCUUAUAUAUCAGCGUGGUGGUGAUGAGGGGCUGGCAAACACAGACAUGCUGUGCAGGGAGCCAGAGAACAUGAACAUAAUAUCCAAAACUGUCAGAAUACAAAUAUGGAUGACAUAUUUUGCAGAUAAUCGGUUCAAUGGAGCAAAAACAUGGCCAAGAGGAAAAAAAAGGAUAAACCAAGAGCAAAUAUUUCCCUGUCAGUAGCUGUUGUUUGCUAUUUUCGAUAAAGUUUGGAUAGGUGCGGCCUUU